rnacentral:rRNA from 1 species
UACGUAGGUGGCAAGCGUUGUUCGGAAUUAUUGGGCGUAAAGGGCGCGUAGGCGGUUGGUUAAGUCAGCUGUGAAAGCCCGGGGCUCAACCCCGGAGGGUCGGCUGAUACUGGCCAACUAGAGUACGGAAGAGGUAGCUGGAAUUCCCGGUGUAGCGGUGAAAUGCGCAGAUAUCAGGAGGAACACCAAUUGCGAAGGCAGCUCGCUGGGACGUUACCGACGCUGAGACGCGAAAGCGUGGGGAGCAAACAGG